CUGCAUGAGUUGCAUUUUUCUGUAAAUAUGGACAAAGAGUAAUGUUGAUGUAAUUUUAGUGAGUAUUAUUUGAGUUGCAAGUGCUCAUAAAGUAAAAGUGCCAUCACACCUAC
rfam:Triticum aestivum genome assembly, contig: Triticum_aestivum_CS42_TGACv1_scaffold_178583_2DS